GUGCCAGCAGCCGCGGUAAUACGUAGGGUGCGAGCGUUGUCCGGAUUUACUGGGCGUAAAGAGCUCGUAGGCGGUUUGUCGCGUCGUCUGUGAAAUCCCUCGGCUCAACCGUGGGCGUGCAGGCGAUACGGGCAUAACUUGAGUACUGUAGGGGAGACUGGAAUUCCUGGUGUAGCGGUGGAAUGCGCAGAUAUCAGGAGGAACACCGGUGGCGAAGGCGGGUCUCUGGGCAGUAACUGACGCUGAGGAGCGAAAGCGUGGGUAGCGAACAGGAUUAGAUACCCUGGUAGUCCACGCCGUAAACGGUGGGUACUAGGUGUGGGUUUCCUUCCACGGGAUCCGUGCCGUAGCUAACGCAUUAAGUACCCCGCCUGGGGAGUACGGCCGCAAGGCUAAAACUUAAAUGAAUUGACGG
rnacentral:rRNA from 1 species